AUUGAACGCUGGCGGCAUGCCUUACACAUGCAAGUCGAACGGCAGCACGGGAGCAAUCCUGGUGGCGAGUGGCGAACGGGUGAGUAAUAUAUCGGAACGUGCUCAGUCGUGGGGGAUAACGUAGCGAAAGCUACGCUAAUACCGCAUACGAUCUAUGGAUGAAAGCGGGGGAUCGCAAGACUUCGCGCGAUUGGAGCGGCCGAUAUCAGAUUAGGUAGUUGGUGAGGUAAAGGCUCACCAAGCCGACGAUCUGUAGCUGGUCUGAGAGGACGACCAGCCACACUGGGACUGAGACACGGCGCAGACUCCUACGGGAGGCAGCAGUGGGGAAUUUUGGACAAUGGGCGCAAGCCUGAUCCAGCAAUGCCGCGUGCAGGAUGAAGGCCUUCGGGUUGUAAACUGCUUUUGUACGGAACGAAACGGCGAGCUCUAAUACAGUUUGCUAAUGACGGUACCGUAAGAAUAAGCACCGGCUAACUACGUGCCAGCCGCCGCGGUAA
rnacentral:rRNA from 1 species